rnacentral:lncRNA from 1 species
UUGAGAAUUAAAAGCCAUGACUGUAAUAAAUGCAGUGCAGAUCUUCAUCCUGCUGUGGGGUUUCACCGCAGUCUGCCAAACUGAUGCUGGUCAAUGCGGCAUAAGAUGUAAUGAUGUGAAUGGAACUGUGGGAAUUGAAAUGAUUUUAGCCUGCAGCGUCUGUGAACAGCCCACUACAGACUGUGUUGAUCGGUAUAAAUUUCUGAAUGGUGGCUCAGAAAUCUACAAAGAAGUGUUUCCUGAGGGUGUCUGUGAAAAGAGGAGCAUCUUCAUACGCAGAUACACUCCGGAUAAAGCAAUGAAUGGAACAUUCAGCUUCUUUGUGCAAGUUGGUAGUUGCACAGAAACAAAAGAUUUCACAGUGAAGAUAUCAGAGCCUGUUAAACCUAUUGCUGGUGGCAGAACAGGGGACAAACCACCGAAACCUGAUCCCGGACAAAAACAGCCUAUUGGUUCUGAGGGUUCUGCUGUUUCUGCCAUCUCUGCAGGUGUGGGCUGCUUCAUCAUCUUCAUCCUCAUCAUCAUAUUGACCAUCACUAUCAUUUACAAAAAGCAUCGUGAUGCAUGUCAGGAAAAGACAUUUCAGGUCGUCGCACAGAAGGACGAUGACAAUUAA